UUAUCAGUAAGUAUUUUCAAUUUCUAUCACAUUUUGUCUACCUUUUAGUAAGACAUCAAGCUAUUUUAUCAAUUUGCAAUUGGAGUUCCGUUGGAUCAGCUGUACAGAUCAGAAACCAUAUUUGUGAUAGAAAAUGAAAAUAGUAAUGGUAUUGACGGUGUUAUGUAUGGCAAUACUUUGUACAAGUUCUCAGUAUUUGACAAGUGAGUACUGUCAGGGUAUCUAUUGUGGAGAUAUGCAAUCGUCAACCAAAUGUACCAGCUGUUGCCAAGCCACAGGAUUUAGUCGAGGUGGAGAGUGUUCUUAUGACAAGUGUUUAUGUUACCUUAACGAGGGAUAACAUCAACCGUUGGUCGUCCAAGAAGACACGGUACAGUUGCACUUCAUGAAUAAAUAACUGUUACUCUUA